rnacentral:rRNA from 1 species
GGCGGACGGGUGAGUAACGCGUGGGAAUCUACCCAGUAGUGGGGGACAACUACCGGAAACGGUAGCUAAUACCGCAUACGCCCUAUGGGGGAAAGGCUUCGGCCGCUAUUGGAUGAGCCCGCGUCAGAUUAGCUAGUUGGUAGGGUAAAGGCCUACCAAGGCAACGAUCUGUAGCUGGUCUGAGAGGACGAACAGCCACACUGGGACUGAGACACGGCCCAGACUCCUACGGGAGGCAGCAGUGGGGAAUAUUGGACAAUGGGCGAAAGCCUGAUCCAGCAAUGCCGCGUGUGUGAAGAAGGCCUGCGGGUUGUAAAGCACUUUCAGUUGGGAAGAUAAUGACGUUACCAACAGAAGAAGCACCGGCUAAAUCCGUGCCAGCAGCCGCGGUAAUACGGAUGGUGCGAGCGUUAAUCGGACUUACUGGGCGUAAAGCGCGC